UACGGAGGGUGCAAGCGUUAUCCGGAUUUAUUGGGUUUAAAGGGUGCGUAGGUGGGAGAGUAAGUCAGAGGUGAAAGCUAGCAGCUUAACUGUUAAAUUGCCUUUGAUACUGCUUUUCUUGAGUAUAGUUGGCGUUGGCGGAAUGUGACAUGUAGCGGUGAAAUGCGUAGAUAUGUCACAGAACACCGAUCGCGAAGGCAGCUAACGAAGCUAUCACUGACACUGAUGCACGAAAGCGUGGGGAGCAAACAGG
rnacentral:rRNA from 1 species